rnacentral:rRNA from 1 species
AUUGAACGCUGGCGGCAGGCCUAACACAUGCAAGUCGAGCGGGGUUUUCGGACCUAGCGGCGGACGGGUGAGUAAUGCGUAGGAAGCUGCCCGAUAGAGGGGGAUACCAGUUGGAAACGACUGUUAAUACCGCAUAACGUCUACGGACCAAAGUGUGGGACCUUCGGGCCACAUGCUAUCGGAUGCGCCUACGUGGGAUU